rnacentral:rRNA from 1 species
AAGUCGAGCGGAUGAGAGGAGCUUGCUCCUGGAUUCAGCGGCGGACGGGUGAGUAAUGCCUAGGAAUCUGCCUGGUAGUGGGGGACAACGUUUCGAAAGGAACGCUAAUACCGCAUACGUCCUACGGGAGAAAGCAGGGGACCUUCGGGCCUUGCGCUAUCAGAUGAGCCUAGGUCGGAUUAGCUAGUUGGUGAGGUAAUGGCUCACCAAGGCGACGAUCCGUAACUGGUCUGAGAGGAUGAUCAGUCACACUGGAACUGAGACACGGUCCAGACUCCUACGGGAGGCAGCAGUGGGGAAUAUUGGACAAUGGGCGAAAGCCUGAUCCAGCCAUGCCGCGUGUGUGAAGAAGGUCUUCGGAUUGUAAAGCACUUUAAGUUGGGAGGAAGGGUUGUAGAUUAAUACUCUGCGAUUUUGACGUUACCGACAGAAUAAGCACCGGCUAACUCUGUGCCAGCAGCCGCGGUAAUACAGAGGGUGCAAGCGUUAAUCGGAAUUACUGGGCGUAAAGCGCGCGUAGGUGGUUUGUUAAGUUGGAUGUGAAAUCCCCGGGCUCAACCUGGGAACU